GCUAGCGUUGCUCGGAAUCAUUGGGCGUAAAGGGUGCGCAGGCGGGUCUUUAAGUCUGGUGUGAAAUCCUGGAGCUCAACUCCAGAACUGCCUUUGAUACUGAAGAUCUUGAGUUCGGGAGAGGUGAGUGGAACUGCGAGUGUAGAGGUGAAAUUCGUAGAUAUUCGCAAGAACACCAGUGGCGAAGGCGGCUCACUGGCCCGAUACUGACGCUGAGGCACGAAAGCGUGGGGAGCAAACAGG
rnacentral:rRNA from 1 species